GGAGAGAUGGCCGAGUGGUCGAAGGCGCACGCUUGGAAAGCGUGUGUGCGGGCAACCGUACCGAGGGUUCGAAUCCCUCUCUCUCCGCCA
rnacentral:tRNA from 1 species